rnacentral:rRNA from 1 species
AACGAACGCUGGCGGCAUGCCUAACACAUGCAAGUCGAACGAGACCUUCGGGUCUAGUGGCGCACGGGUGCGUAACGCGUGGGAACCUGCCCUUAGGUUCGGAAUAACUCCCCGAAAGGGGUGCUAAUACCGGAUAAUGUCUUCGGACCAAAGAUUUAUCGCCUUUGGAUGGGCCCGCGUUGGAUUAGCUAGUUGGUAGGGUAAAAGCCUACCAAGGCGACGAUCCAUAGCUGGUCUGAGAGGAUGAUCAGCCACACUGGGACUGAGACACGGCCCAGACUACUACGGGAGGCAGCAGUAGGGUAUAUUGGACAAUGGGCGAAAGCCUGAUCCAGCAAUGCCGCGUGGGUGAUGAAGACCUUAGGGUUGUUAAGCUCUUUUACCCGGGAUGAUACUGACAGUACCGGGAGAAUAAGCUCCGGCUAACUCCGUG